rnacentral:tRNA from 1 species
AGGGUUAAAUACUAAAUGGUUUUAGUCUGAAACCUUCUCGAAGUUUCUGGUUAAGUUCGAUUCUUAUUAACUCUA